GCGCGUCGCGAGUCGCCGCUGCCCACUCCGGUCCGGUCACGCGGCUGAGACGGCAGGCGCCCUCCGUCGGCCCCGGCUUACAGCAGUCCGAGCUACCAGUCCGAGGUCAUGCAGCUCUCUCGUCUGCUGAUGCUGCUGGUGGCGAUGGUGGUGAUGAUAGUCUGCGGCGAGGCUCGGUACCUGCCCACGCGGGCAGACGACACCAACGUCAGAGCCAUCAAGCAGAUACUCACCGAGAUGCUGCACCAGUCGGAGAGGCCGGCGUACCCGGCCAGGUUAGACCAGCUGCAGAAGGACCUGCUCUUCUCGCACAGCCCCGGCUACGACUAAUCUAGCGGACCGGCCCGCCAGUCAGCCACCGCCGCCGCCGCCGCCGC